GUCCACGCAGUAAACGAUGAGUGCUAGAUAUCGGGACUUUUGUUUCGGUGUCGCAGCUAACGCAUUAAGCACUCCGCCUGGGGAGUACGGUGCAAGAUUAAAACUCAAAGGAAUUGACGGGGACUCGCACAAGCGGUGGAACAUGUGGUUUAAUUCGAUGUCACGCGAAAACCUUACCAGGUCUUGACAUGAUAGUCGUAUGCCUAGGAAACUAGGCAGUCGGUUCGGCCGGACUAUCACAGGUGUUGCAUGGUUGUCGU
rnacentral:rRNA from 1 species